rnacentral:rRNA from 1 species
AACGAACGCUGGCGGCAUGCCUAACACAUGCAAGUCGAACGACAGCUCCGGGCCACGUGGCGCACGGGUGCGUAAGGGGUGGGAAUAUGCCCUAAGGUACGGAAUAACUCCCGGAAAGGGGUGCUAAUACAGGCUAAUAUCGCCUGCGCUAAGGUUUAUCGACUUUGGAUGGUCCGGCGUUGGUUUAGCUAGUUCGUAGGGUAAAAGCCUACCAAGGUGACGAUGCAUAGCUGGUCAGAGAGGAUGAUCAGCGACACUGGUACUGAGACACGGCCCAGACUCCUACGGGAGGCAGCAGUGGGGAAUAUUGGAAAAUGGGGGAAAUGCUGAUCCAGUAAUGCUGCGUGAGUUAUGAAGUCAUUAGGGUUGUAAAGCUCUUUUAUACGGGCGGAUAAUGACAGUACCGGGAGAAUAAGCUCCGGCUAACUACGUG